rnacentral:RNase_P_RNA from 1 species
UUUUCAGACCUAACUAUCGCCUGCCUUUAAAUAGGUAGGAGGAAAGUCCGGGCUCCAUAGAGAAUAGUGCCGGGUAACACCCGGGAGCUAUUUAGUUCUCUAAAUAGCGACAGACAGUGCCACAGAGAUAUACCGCCUAGGAGUAAUUCUAGGUAAGGGUGAAAAGGUAGGGUAAGAGCCUACCGGGAAAACAGUAAUGUUUUUUGCUAGGUAAACCUCACUAGGAGCAAAGUCAAGCAGUAGUUCUGGAUUUCUCGUCCUAUAGGCUACGGGUAGACUGCUAGAACAUUAAAGUGAUUUAAUGUGUAGAUAGAUGAUAGUUUUUAACAGAACUCGGCUUACAGGUCUGAUUUUUUU